AUUAUACUCCCUCCGUCCGGAAAUACUUGUCUAAAAUAUAAAUGAAUCUAGACUUAUUUUAGUUAUAGAUAUAUCUAUUAUAUUCAUUUUUAAGACAAAUAUUUCCGGACGGAGGGAGCAUAAA
rnacentral:pre_miRNA from 1 species